AUCGCUUCUCGGCCUUUUGGCUAAGAUCAAGUGUAGUACCUCAAAAGAGAGUUUUAUUGCCUCCACUGAACAUUCCCCACAAGUCUCUAAGUUGCAGAGCUGAACAUGAUUUUGGACCUAGAAAAACUUCAGGAUGUAGGUAAACUUAAUAUCUAGAAAACAGGUACAUCUGUAACAAAACCACUUACAUAGAUGUUAUUCUUU
rnacentral:snRNA from 1 species